UACGUAGGGCGCAAGCGUUUAUCCGGAAUUAUUGGGCGUAAAGAGCUCGUAGGCGGUUUGUCGCGUCUGCCGUGAAAGUCCGGGGCUCAACUCCGGAUCUGCGGUGGGUACGGGCAGACUAGAGUGAUGUAGGGGGAGACUGGAAUUCCUGGUGUAGCGGUGAAAUGCGCAGAUAUCAGGAGGAACACCGAUGGGCGAAGGCAGGUCUCUGGGCAUUAACUGACGCUGAGGAGCGAAAAGCAUGGGGGAGCGAACAGG
rnacentral:rRNA from 1 species